GAACUAAGGAAGCCAAAGUGGAAGGUCUGAGGUGUGUCCCAUUGAAGAUGCUGUCUACCAGUGCUCUAAGGCAGGUAGAGAAAGGCCCAUUUCAGAUCUAACCACUGCCCUUGAUCUCCUGGCUCUGAUCCCAAAUCAGAAAGAUGUUGGUGAUUUGCAGUUAUCCACCUGCCCCACCUACCUGGAUCUAGGACAGUGGAGGCACCCAGAGCAGGUUAAAGAAGGCCGUAGCGAAUUGGACAAGAUUUUGUUAUUGCAACCUUCAGAUGAAUACCAGCCAUACCAGCUGACAGUUUAAUUGUCAUGGGGCUUCCAAAGGAGGAAACAGUUGGCUGGCUUCUUUCUAAUACAUUGGAGCUUGGGCCAGCCUCUUUGAUUGCACAGGCAAACCUGCAAGACGAGAGAUGCAGAAACACCCAUACCUCCAUGGCCUAAAAACAGAUUAGAAGACAGACGGAAGCUUGUGACCCUACAUAGCAAAAUAGCGCUGUGCUCACUGGCCCUGGAGCCCUGCACUCCGCAGCCAUGCUGAGUAGCUGAUGAGAUGCGCACCCAGCUUGAACGUCAGACGCCCCAAGGCCCUGCAGCCUCGUCUGCCUGCUGUACUGCUGCCAUUUGCACCCUGUGGGUCCUUCCUGGAGGUGGAGCGACCCCUUCCCCUCCUCUGGGCCUGGAGGAGGG
ensembl:lncRNA